rnacentral:rRNA from 1 species
GACGAACGCUGGCGGCGUGCUUAACACAUGCAAGUCGAACGGGAAGGCCCUGCUUUUGUGGGGUGCUCGAGUUGCGAACGGGUGAGUAACACGUGAGUAACCUGCCCUUGACUGUGGGAUAACUUCAGGAAACUGGGUCUAAUACCGGAUAGGAGCUCCUGCUGCAUGGUGGGGGUUGGAAAGUUUCGGCGGUUGGGGGUGGACUCGCGGCCUAUCAGCUUGUUGGUUGGGUAGUGGCUUACCAAGGCUUUGCCGGGUAGCCGGCCUGAGAGGGUGAGCGGACACACUGGGAUUGAGAUACGGCCCAGACUACUACGGGAGGGAGGGGUGGGGAAUAGUGCACUAGGGGCGGAACGCUAAUGUAGUCACGCAGCGCCGGGGAUGACGGCCUGGGGUUUGUGAACCGCAUUCGUCUGUGACGAAGCGUGAGUGACAGUAAUGGGUAAAGAAGCACCGGCUAACUCCGUG